CCUAAUCAACUAAACUGCAUGUUAAAAGCCUGGGGUCAGGUUAUUAAGGAAAGAUUUUGUAGAACAAAUUCCACAUAGUCACUGUAAAUUACAUCUGCAUGAAAAUCAGUGUCAGCUGUUGUAUAAUAUCAGAUCUUUAAAGUAUGCCUGCAGUCCUUUAGAGAUGCAUUUGGGCAAGAGCCACUCCUGUUGCUGAAAUCAAUGAAUCAUAGAGUUGGUUGGAAGGAGCACUUCGAGGAGCACUACCUCAAAUCUAGCACCAGCAACACAUGAAACAGGGCUCAGAAGCAAAACCUGAAGCAGAAACCAAGUCUUGUGAUUUUCAGGGUACUGGGACUAAGCUGGUAUUGCGUGGCAGUGGAAAAGACUGAAAGUAGGACAAGGUCAUUUUGUCCAUAAAAAGAGAAGUGUGAGG
ensembl:lncRNA